rnacentral:rRNA from 1 species
GUAACUAGGCACCCUUGUCUUUUGCGUACCUCUUGUUUCCUUGGGGGGCGCCCACCACUAGGACAAACAUAAACCUUUUGUAAUUGCAAUCAGCGUCAGUAACAAAUUAAUAAUUACAACUUUCAACAACGGAUCUCUUGGUUCUGGCAUCGAUGAAGAACGCAGCGAAAUGCGAUAAGUAGUGUGAAUUGCAGAAUUCAGUGAAUCAUCGAAUCUUUGAACGCACAUUGCGCCCUUUGGUAUUCCAAAGGGCAUGCCUGUUCGAGCGUCAUUUGUACCCUCAAGCUUUGCUUGGUGUUGGGCGUCUUGUCUCUAGCUUUGCUGGAGACUCGCCUUAAAGUAAUUGGCAGCCGGCCUACUGGUUUCGGAGCGCAGCACAAGUCGCACUCUCUAUCAGCAAAGGUCUAGCAUCCAUUAAGCCUUUUUUUCAACUUUUGACCUCGGAUCAGGUAGGGAUACCCGCUGAACUUAAGCAUAUCAAUCAGCCGGAGGGAAGAUUGCCGCAUAGUGCAGCACUGAAGACAAGGUAAUACUUAGCAA